rnacentral:rRNA from 1 species
AGCAGCCGCGGUAAUUCCAGCUCCAAUAGCGUAUAUUAAAGUUGUUGCAGUUAAAAAGCUCGUAGUUGAACUUCGAGAUCAAAUUGUUGGUCGUGCCUUGGUACGUACUGGCAUUAUUGGUUUCUCCCUUCUGAAGAACCAUGAUGUCAUUAAUUUGGUGUCAUGGGGAAUCAGGACUGUUACUUUGAAAAAUUAGAGUGUUUAAAGCAGGCUCGCGCUUGAAUACAUUAGCAUGGAAUAAUGAAAUAGGACGUUUAAUUCUAUUUUGUUGGUUUCUAGGAUUGACGUAAUGAUUAAUAGGGAUAGUUGGGGGCAUUAGUAUUCAAUUGUCAGAGGUGAAAUUCUUGGAUCUAUUGAAGACUAACUACUGCGAAAGCAUUUGCCAAGGAUGUUUUCAUUAAUCAAGAACGAAAGUUAGGGGAUCGAAGACG